UACGUAUGGUGCAAGCGUUAUCCGGAUUUACUGGGUGUAAAGGGAGCGCAGGCGGCACGGCAAGCCUGAUGUGAAAGCCCGCGGCCCAACCGCGGGACUGCAUUGGGAACUACCGGGCUGGAGUGCCGGAGAGGUAGGCGGAAUUCCUAGUGUAGCGGUGAAAUGCGUAGAUAUUAGGAGGAACACCAGUGGCGAAGGCGGCCUACUGGACGAUGACUGACGUUGAGGCUCGAAAGCGUGGGGAGCAAACAGG
rnacentral:rRNA from 1 species